GACUGUUGUUACUAAUCUAGUUCACGUUCCUGCUGAAUGGAAGCAGCUCUAAGCAAAAGACAUGAGGCCUCAGCUGAAUUGAGGUGGCUUUGAGGUCAUCCGAUUUCUAGACGUGUGCGGUCACCUGGUCCUGAGAGCCCUCCACACAGAAUGGUUUGCAAUUUUUUUUGGUGAUGGCAUGUUCAGAAUCUUGGAUCCCUAAAUUGAAUGUUGGAAAU
ensembl:lncRNA